AACAUUUUAAAGACAUUUAUAUUUGUAAUUGGACUGAAAUAUCAUCUAGCUCUUGUGUACAAAUCUAUUCUGAAAAUUUCGUGUGUCUAUUUUAUCUGAUCUCAGAAACAUUAGUUGGACAGUAGUGUGGAUAGACAAACCGAAUGAUUACGCCUCUGUUUAAAAGAAAAUGCUUAAAAAAUGAUAAAAGGGAAAAGGGGCAAAAUGUUUCCCAGUUUACGGAAAUCCUCAGCCUACAUCUGCCCUUGGGGUUUGGGGUUGGGGGGCGCCGAUUGCAUGGUUUGCCUCGGGGACCUAGUCUAGGGCUGCCCCUGCAUUCUGAUGUAUGACCGAGGUAACAGACAAUGCUGUCUGUCUACGUUAUAUUUCCCUGGUAGUGCCUAGUUACAAGGGAACUAUCCACAGGCACCCCCCUCCCUUCCCACAAACACACUGCUCCCAGGUUACAUUGGAUUUUUUAAAAAAGAGACAAACUCAUGAUUUUUGGGGCUCUGAUUCCUGAAUGUUCAGGGUGUCCUAGGUCUUGGUCUGAUUUCCAGGCAGGCUUUAGACCUCAGCCACACUAGAGUCAGACCAGAGUCACUGCUGGCUCUGGCAGGGGGUGAGUGCAGAUGGACCAAUAGGAUCAGUCUCUGCCUAUCUGUCCCUGGGGGCUGCCGGAAGAGUCCAGAGCAGCUCGUUCUUCAGGUGUGGCCACUAGAGGGCUCCGGCUGUUGCUAAGGGAGAGGGGUUUACACUGCAAUUUGGGGCAAUCCCUCAAAAUGGCCCCCUUGAUUCUGCUCUUUUUCUAGCAUUUGGCUCAGAGAUGCUGUUACUGGGAGGGUCUGAAGAGCUUGGAGGGAACCGGGGUGUGACAUGGACCGAAGUCCCUUCCGUAACCUCCCCCAUCGCCCCGACAGGCUGAGGAAUCACGUCCACAUUUCGCUCCAGAUUGGCUCAUCUUCCAGGCUGUGAUGGAGCCAGCUCAGAUGCCGGUGACCUUCGAGGAGGUGGCUGUGUAUUUCACCCAGGGGCAGGGGGCUCUGCUGGAUCCCGCUCAGAGAGCCCUCUACAGGGACGUCAUGCAGCAGAACUACGAGAUUGUGACCUCGCUGGGUAAGGGAUUCCCGUCCCCUCGGUUAUUAGAAGCCGUUGAGUUUGUAUGUAUGAAUCUGGUCAGGUUCUUCCCUGAUCAGUUAGAUCUGAGGGGAAUGUUUUGCAUAAUGAACAGUUGCCUUGUGAGAGAGACUUCCAUCUCCGUGCCCUCUCCAGUGAGACACGGUGUCAAAACUUAAUGGACAUGUUAGCUCAUCCCCACCCCUCUGGCUUUAAAAGGGACAGAAUUCAUUCGUUGUCCUCUCUGUAUUGACUCCCAUACACACCAAAUCCUUAUUUAUCUCCCUUCUUGAGAAUAGCUCCAGCCAUUGGGAAGGCUUAGAAAUAGGCAGAGGUUUCACGCGAGAGCUGUGUGUGAGUCAGCAAUGCCCCUAGGCUGCGCAGAUCCUGGGAACACCUAAUGAGAGUGUAAAAAUUCCCCUCACCUCCCCAGAGGGCUGCCUCUCCCAAGAGGGCUCAGCGACCAUGUUCCUGUCCUCUUGGGUUCCAUGUUCCCCAGCAGAGCACAGGGACAUGUUCCGCUCACACAAUGUCCUUUGUGACAGAUGCACUCUCAAUCCUCCAUGCACCCUGAUCUGGUUUGACUUCCACCCCCUGCGCAGGAUUCCCCAUUCCCAAACCUGAGCUGAUCUCCCGCCUGGAACGAGGGGAAGAGCCGUGGGUCCCAGAUCUCCAGGCCUGUGAGGAAAGAGAGAGCCUGAGAGGCACCCACACAGCAGGUGCUGAGCGAGGGAGUGAGAAGGAGGAAGGGGAUCAUCAUGAGGAAGUCCCUGGGAAAGUGGAACCACAAAGGACAUUUGUGGGAAGAGAUGAAGGGAAUUUUUCCCAGUGCUUCGAACAGGAAGAAGCCUGGGGAAA